UGUGUAGGCGGUUCUUUAAGUUUGGUGUGAAAUCUCCCGGCUUAACCGGGAGGGUGCGCCGAAUACUGAGGAACUAGAGUGCGGGAGAGGAAAGUGGAAUUCCUGGUGUAGCGGUGAAAUGCGUAGAUAUCAGGAGGAACACCGGUGGUGUAGACGGCUUUCUGGACCGUAACUGACGCUGAAACACGAAAGCGUGGGUAGCAAACAGGAUUAGAUACCCUGGUAGUCCACGCCCUAAACGAUGCAUAUUUGGUGUGGGUCAUUCAGUUGAUCCGUGCCGGAGCUAACGCGUUAAAUAUGCCGCCUGGGGAGUACAGUCGCAAGGCUGAA
rnacentral:rRNA from 1 species